rnacentral:rRNA from 1 species
GUGGGGAAUAUUGGGCAAUGGGCGCAAGCCUGACCCAGCAACGCCGCGUGAGGGAAGAAGGCUUUCGGGUUGUAAACCUCUGUCCUUGGUGACGAAAAAAAUGACGGUAGCCAAGGAGGAAGCCCCGGCUAACUACGUGCCAGCAGCCGCGGUAAUACGUAGGGGGCGAGCGUUGUCCGGAAUUACUGGGCGUAAAGGGUGCGUAGGUGGCCUUUUAAGUUGGAUGUGAAAUACCCGGGCUUAACUUGGGGGGUGCAUCCAAAACUGGGAGGCUAGAGUGCAGGAGAGGAAAGCGGAAUUCCUAGUGUAGCGGUGAAAUGCGUAGAUAUUAGGAGGAACACCAGUGGCGAAGGCGGCUUUCUGGACUGUAACUGACACUGAGGCACGAAAGCGUGGGGAGCAAACAGGAUUAGAUACCCCAGUAGUCC